rnacentral:lncRNA from 1 species
AGUUUUAUUUUACUUUUUUUGUUGGUAAUUUGGUUAGUGAAAAGUUAUUAAACAACAGAAGAACGUGCUAGCUAGCUACAAGGAAAAGGGAGUUGGAAAACUCGUCGUAAGCACACAGUUUUUCUUGUUAGUGUCGUUCAAACAUGCUACAAUGUCUCCCGUUUUGUCUUUUCUUACGAUAACUAUUUGGGUGGGAAUCCUGAGGAAUUCUUACAGAAAGCUUCCCUCUUUGUUUUUAGAUAUCAUAUGGUUGGCUUUGUCUAAAAGCAUUUUGCCAUUUUCUGGGUUCAGCACAAUUUACAUUCAAUCUUGUCCAUGUGAAAAGUUAAGGGACAACUUGUAAUACAUAACUCAUGUUGUCAACAAAAAUAUAUCUUGGUUAAUUUUCAUUAUUUUACGUUGUUUUCAAUUUUACCGUUACAGUUACG